GGGGUUGUGGCUCAGUGGUAGAGCGCUCGCCUAGCAGUGAGGCCCUGGGUUAGAUCCUCAGCACCACA
rnacentral:tRNA from 1 species